rnacentral:sRNA from 1 species
GCUGGGUGUGGAGACACACACCUGUAAUCCUAGCAACUCCGGAGGCUGAGGCAGGAGGAUCACAAGUUUGAGACCAGCCUCAG